ACCGAAAUAGCUCAGUUGAGAGAGCGUUAGACUAUAAAUUAAAAAGCCCCUGGUUCUAUCCCGGGUUCCGGCA
rnacentral:tRNA from 1 species